rnacentral:lncRNA from 1 species
CGCUGUGUCCGCGUAUGAACGAGGUGCCGCUGCUGGAGCCGCUGGUGUGCAAGAAAAUCGCACACGAGCGGCUCACCGUGCUCGUCUUCAUGAACGACUGCAUCAUCACGGCGUGUCAGGAAGGACUCAUCUGCACUUGGGCCAGACCCGGGAAAGUGCACCCGUCUCAGCCGCUGUCAGCACAGAACGGAAACUCUCCGAGCGGGACAGUGGUAUAGCCGAUUCCCGUGUCUGCAUCCGGAGCCGGUCCAUCACAGCGUCACCAUUCACCCGUCCACUAAAUCCUUACCAAACCAUACGCUUGAGUUCACAUGAACGUAAACACACCCCGGGACCAUGCUGCACCGCUGCGACACACCACGGCUCUCUCCUGCAGACAGACUACGAGACUCUUCUGCUGGCCUCUUCUCUAGCCGCAUACACUGCAAAAGCCACGGCCUUUUUAUUUCCUAUUUAUUUAUUUGAUCAUCGAGACUUCUAUUGUACAUAUUCAGACUACUCUAUAACGGCAGAGGACGUGUAUUGAAAUAAUGAACUCAAAUAAUUAAUAUAUGAAGAUCCUAUAUUGUACAUAGUGACAGAUGCAUUGAAUGUGGAUUAACGAGUUCUUGUUCUAGUGUGCUAGUGCUUCAUAAGUGGCGAUCUGGCUGAGAAAGUGCAUCCUUUGCUUUGGCAUCGGGCCUGAACUGAGAGUUACGUGCAUUUGUUCGACCGCUAGACUCGAGUUUUCCGCUUCAUAGAUUACUAGAGAGGUGAGGUUAGUGUCGUCUAGAAAUAGUGUCAAAUGGUAGGCAAGGUAUAUGAACCGUGAAAGUGAGAUUUUAUAUAUUUACUAAGUUUUUGCUAAGCAAACAACGUCACCGCUGAAUGAAAACGGACGUUUGUGCCAUUCUCACGUGACUGUUUAGAGCUAGUCCAAACUAGAAGUGGAUCUCUUAAAAUUUGCCUUGUUGAAUGCAAGACUGUGACAGUGGAAGCCCAUUUCUGCCACGGAAUAAAAAAUAAAAAUGGCUAUUGCAGC